rnacentral:tRNA from 1 species
GGGGAUGUAGCUGAGUCGGAAAGCACUUGCUCUGCAUGUAAGAGGCCCUGGGUUCAACCCCCAGCAUCUCCA